rnacentral:tRNA from 1 species
GGGCUCGUAGUUCAGACUGGGAGAACACACGGCUGAAGACCGUGACGUCCUGGGUUCAAAUCCCAGCGAGCCCA